AAAACCAUGCAUUCCUUGGAAAAUUCAUUCCUGGGAAAACCUGAACAGAAUGAGUGAGAACUCCUACCACUGUCGUUCUCAUCGUUUCUGAGAUCU